CUUUCCAGUGAUGAGGACUUUCACAGACCUGUACUGACCUCUGUGAGGACGAGUAACUCUGAGGAGAC
rnacentral:snoRNA from 1 species